UACGAGUGCCCCAAGCGUUAUCCGGAAUCAUUGGGCGUAAAGGGUGUGUAGGUGGUCUAGUUAGUCUUCUGUCAAAUUCCCUGGCUUAACCAGGAAACUGCAGAGGAAACGGCUAGACUUGAGGAUGCGAGAGGUGAAUGGAACUCAUGGAGUAGGGGUGAAAUCCGUUGAUAUCAUGGGGAACACCAAAAGCGAAGGCAAUUCACUGGCGCAUUCCUGACACUGAAACACGAAAGCGUGGGUAGCGAACGGG
rnacentral:rRNA from 1 species